rnacentral:tRNA from 1 species
GCCCUAGUAGCUCAGU